GGCAGUGUGUGGAAUGAUUCCCACAUCUGUCUGGGGCCAGGUACUUCAGGAUCUCCUGGGACUUCUCCACUGAGACGUAUCUGCUGGCACUUCUACUUCCUCACUGCCCCAUGUGGUCCCUGCCCUGUGAUGGGAUGGGGAAAGGACAAAGGCUCCCACACCGGUUGAACGCUGGCAUCCCUUCCAACUCCCACGGCCUGGAGAAUCUGCAUGAAGUCCUUGUCCUUUGUGUUUGGCAAGCAGGAGUAGCACAGGAGGAGUAAGC
rnacentral:lncRNA from 1 species